rnacentral:rRNA from 1 species
UACCGAGGUCUCAAGCGUUGUUCGGAUUCAUUGGGCGUAAAGGGCGCGUAGGCGGCGGGGUAAGUCGGGUGUGAAAUCUCAGAGCUCAACUCUGAAACUGCACUCGAUACUGCUCUGCUUGAGGACUGGAGAGGAGACUGGAAUUCACGGUGUAGCAGUGAAAUGCGUAGAUAUCGUGAGGAAGACCGGUGGCGAAGGCGGGUCUCUGGGCAGUAACUGACGCUGAGGAGCGAAAGCGUGGGGAGCGAACAGG